AUUGAACGCUGGCGGCAGGCUUAACACAUGCAAGUCGAGCGGAUGAGGGGGGCUUGCUCUUGGUUCCAGCGGGGGACGGGGGAGUAUUGCCCGGGAAUCUCCCGGCCAUUGGGGGAUAAGGUCCGGAAACGGCCGCUAAUACUGCAUACGUCUUGAGGGGGAAGGGGGGGGAUCUUCGGACAUCAUGCUCUCAGAUGACACUAGGUGGGAUUAGUUAGUUGGUGGGUUAAAGGCCUACCAAGGCGAGGUUCCGUAACUGGACUGAGAGAAUGAUCAGUCACACUGGAACUGGGACACGGUCCAGACUCCUACGGGAGGCAGCAGUGGGGAAUAUUGGGCAAUGGGCGAAAGCCUGAUCCAGCCAGGCCGCGUGUGUGGAGAAGGUCUUCGGAUUGUAAAGCACGUUAAGUUGGGAGGAAGGGCAGUAAGUUAAUACCUUGCUGUAUUGACGUUACCAACAGAAUAAGCACCGGCUAACUACGUG
rnacentral:rRNA from 1 species